CCUACGGGAGGCAGCAGUGGGGAAUAUUGCACAAUGGGGGGAACCCUGAUGCAGCGACGCCGCGUGAGUGAAGAAGUAUUUCGGUAUGUAAAGCUCUAUCAGCAGGAACGAGACAAGACGGUACCUGACCAAGAAGCCCCGGCUAACUACGUGCCAGCAGCCGCGGUAAUACGGAGGGGGCAAGCGUUAUCCGGAAUCACUGGGUGUAAAGGGAGCGUAGACGGCUGAGCAAGCCUGAAGUGAAAGGCGGGGGCCCAACCCCCAGACUGCUUUGGGAACUGUACGGCUGGAGUGCAGGAGAGGUAAGUGGAAUUCCUAGUGUAGCGGUGAAAUGCGUAGAUAUUAGGAGGAACACCAGUGGCGAAGGCGGCUUACUGGACUGUAACUGACGUUGAGGCUCGAAAGCGUGGGGAGCAAACAGGAUUAGAUACCCGGGUAGUC
rnacentral:rRNA from 1 species